rnacentral:rRNA from 1 species
AGAGUUUGAUCAUGGCUCAGAUUGAACGCUGGCGGCAGGCCUAACACAUGCAAGUCGAGCGGUAGCACAGAGAGCUUGCUCUCGGGUGACGAGCGGCGGACGGGUGAGUAAUGUCUGGGAAACUGCCUGAUGGAGGGGGAUAACUACUGGAAACGGUAGCUAAUACCGCAUAAUGUCGCAAGACCAAAGUGGGGGACCUUCGGGCCUCAUGCCAUCAGAUGUGCCCAGAUGGGAUUAGCUAGUAGGUGGGGUAACGGCUCACCUAGGCGACGAUCCCUAGCUGGUCUGAGAGGAUGACCAGCCACACUGGAACUGAGACACGGUCCAGACUCCUACGGGAGGCAGCAGUGGGGAAUAUUGCACAAUGGGCGCAAGCCUGAUGCAGCCAUGCCGCGUGUGUGAAGAAGGCCUUCGGGUUGUAAAGCACUUUCAGCGGGGAGGAAGGCGUUAAGGUUAAUAACCUUGGCGAUUGACGUUACCCGCAGAAGAAGCACCGGCUAACUCCGUGCCAGCAGCCGCGGUAAUACGGAGGGUGCAAGCGUUAAUCGGAAUUACUGGGCGUAAAGCGCACGCAGGCGGUCUGUCAAGUCGGAUGUGAAAUCCCCGGGCUCAACCUGGGAACUGCAUUCGAAACUGGCAGGCUAGAGUCUUGUAGAGGGGGGUAGAAUUCCAGGUGUAGCGGUGAAAUGCGUAGAGAUCUGGAGGAAUACCGGUGGCGAAGGCGGCCCCCUGGACAAAGACUGACGCUCAGGUGCGAAAGCGUGGGGAGCAAACAGGAUUAGAUACCCUGGUAGUCCACGCCGUAAACGAUGUCGAUUUGGAGGUUGUGCCCUUGAGGCGUGGCUUCCGGAGCUAACGCGUUAAAUCGACCGCCUGGGGAGUACGGCCGCAAGGUUAAAACUCAAAUGAAUUGACGGGGGCCCGCACAAGCGGUGGAGC